rnacentral:rRNA from 1 species
AUGCAUCGAUUCAGCUCAGCUCUAGUUUUCCUGCAGAAUCUGCCAUCGCAUACAGCCAUGAAGCUCCCAUUAUUCAGUUUGGAAGCGCUUAGAAUCACGAAGGAGAUGGUGAAGCAUUUCCAUGAGUUUGUGUCCACAAGGCUCGGUUCCCUCUCCAAGUGUACAGCAGAUCUGUUCAGACGCUCUUACUUGUUUCUGGUAUUCAAAAGCAAUCCUUUGGUAGUCCAGCUUAUUUACCUCAUGUCAAUAUCUUUUGCUGGUUUCCUUGCUCUGAAGAACCUCGCACCACUGAAUAAGCCAUCUCCAAGGAACUUGGAUCUGAUAUUCACCUCUGUGUCCACAGUGACGGUGUCAAGCAUGGCAACAAUUGAGAUGGAGGACUUCUCUGGCCAGCAGCUCUGGGUUUUCAUCAUACUGAUGAUAUUGGGAGGAGAAGUGUUCACUUCUAUGGUAGGGCUGCACUUCAAAAAUGCUCGGGCAAACACUGAGGGUGCUCUCCAGACAAGAUUGGCUUUCAUAAGCAGGGACAUCGAAUCCUCUGAUGAUUUCAACAACAGCAGUCAGAAUUAUAUGGAAGGCAUCCAGCCAGAGGAAACCAUGCCACACAACCAGGUACAGGAAAGCAAAGGGAUGAAUCAUAAAUCUCGCAAUAUUUUGGCUCAUGUAGUAGCAGGCUAUUUCAUAGCCGCAAUAGUUUGCAGCUCUGUAGUCAUUACCAUCUUCCUAUGGAUUGACUCCGAUGCAAGGCAUCUACUGAAGAGUAAGCAUAUCAAAAUGUGGACAUUCUCAAUCUUCACAGCAGUAUCAUCAUUUGCAAACUGUGGCUUCACUCCGUUAAAUGAUAGCAUGGCAAUUUUCAAAAAUAACCCGACUUUCCUUCUUCUAGUUACCCCACAGAUUCUUGUAGGCAACACUUUGUUUGCGCCACUGUUGAGGUUAAGCAUAUGGACCUUGGGAAAGCUGAGCAGCAGAGAAGAGUACGCCUACAUCCUUCAGCACCCAAAGGAGAUUGGAUACAGGCAUUUGCAACCUCAUAAGAAUUCUGUCCAAUUGGUUCUGACUGGGGUGAUGCUAAUUUUGCUGCAAGCGAUGCUUAUUUGUUAUUUUGAAUGGGAUUCGAAAUCCUUGGAGGGAAUGGGAUGGUUCCAGAAAUUGAUAGGCUCUCUGUUCCAGAGUGCCAAUUCAAGACACGCUGGUGAAACUGUCAUUGACAUCUCGACCCUUUCUCCACCGAUUAUGGUGAUAUUUGCACUUGUCAUGUACCUUCCUUCUGGUACUUCAAUCCUUGCUACAUGUGGUGAUAACCGAAGCUUAGCGGAUAAAAAGGAAAAUCCGAAUGGCAGAGCAACGUGGAAGAAGUUUGCCAUGACCAAGCGUACUUGUUUAGUAAUAAUCACGAUUUUGGCAUGUAUAACUGAGAGGAAGUCAAUGACUGCCGAUCCACUCAAUUUCAGCAUCUUCAGCGUAAUAUUCGAAGUGAUGAGCGCAUACGGCAAUGUAGGGUACUCGCUCGGCUACAGCUGUGACAAGUUACUGAGGCCUGAUUCCGCGUGCAGAGACGCCUCGUACGGGUUCGUCGGCAGAUGGAGCGACAAAGGGAGACUGAUCAUCAUCCUGGUGAUGUUCCUCGGAAGGUUCAAGGCGUACACCCUCAGAGGGAAGAAAACCCUGAAUGUGCAUCCAUGUAGAAGGACAGCACCGCAUCAGAGGCCAGAGGUGGCUGGAAAUUAG